CACUUUGGGUCUCACUAAUCUCUGCUGUUUCAACAGGCUGGUUCUGGACUAGGUGCACUGCUUAGUGCUGUUUAUAGUUUUAAUACAGGAAUCCCAUUCAUACAGAAUCGUGUUAGAGGACCCAAAUGGCUUCCUUUUGUUGUUGGGCUUCCCCCGCUGUUGCUCUUUUCUGGGGCCAGUGCUGCAUUUGGAGGUAUGGACAGAUUCUUCCGGGCUUUCUCUAAUUGGCUGGUCUUGGUUUGCAUUCAUUUUGCUGACCCACGCUCAUUUUACACCAUAUAGCAAUUAGAAUGGUCGCUUUACUCAUUACAUACAUAAAAGACACUGGCAUUAGCCGGAUGAUGCUACUGCCGAUAAAAUUCAUUUCACCAUAUGGAAAUGCAUAGACAGAUUAUUUCCUUG